rnacentral:rRNA from 1 species
ACAUCCAUACUACCCUCAAUGUGCCUGAUCUCAUCUGAUCUCAGAAGCUAAGCAAGGUCAGGCCUGGCUAGCACUUGGAUGAGAGAUGUC